UCCCUGGUAGUAUAUCGGUUAGUACACGCGCCUGUCAUUGUAUUCGAUCUUCCGCGCGAAAGCUGGGUUCGACUCCCAGCCAGGGAG